CGGGGCGUGGCGCAGCCCGGUAGCGCGCCUGCUUCGGGUGCAGGAGGCCGGAGGUUCGAAUCCUCUCGCCCCGACCA
rnacentral:tRNA from 1 species